rnacentral:rRNA from 1 species
GACGAACGCUGGCGGCGUGCUUAACACAUGCAAGUCGAACGGAAAGGCCCUGCUUGCAGGGUACUCGAGUGGCGAACGGGUGAGUAACACGUGGGUGAUCUGCCCUGCACUUCGGGAUAAGCCUGGGAAACUGGGUCUAAUACCGGAUAGGAGCCAUUUUUAGUGUGAUGGUUGGAAAGUUUUUUCGGUGUAGGAUGAGCUCGCGGCCUAUCAGCUUGUUGGUGGGGUAAUGGCCUACCAAGGCGGCGACGGGUAGCCGGCCUGAGAGGGUGGACGGCCACAUUGGGACUGAGAUACGGCCCAGACGCCUACGGGAGGCAGCAGUGGGGAAGAUUGCACAAUGGGCGCAAGCCUGAUGCAGCGAGGCCGCGUGGGGGAUGACGGCCUUCGGGUUGUAAACUCCUUUCGCUAGGGACGAAGCUUUUUGUGACGGUACCUAGAUAAGAAGCACCGGCUAACUACGUG